UGUUCGUUUGGAAGAAGGUUUAUUGAGAGCUCUUUCCAGCUGUCAGUGGACUAUGAACAGAACUACACCCUAAAGAACCCAGCAUGCAUUGCACAUGAAAUGUGUGUGUUUAACAUCACUGUGAGGCCUCCUGUUUCUCUGACAUGUAUACAUGAGAUAAUUACCUUUGGAAAUGACAGUUAUCUGCUGAGUGAAACCUACGUUUUAGAGCAUCAUGAUGGAGUAUCUUCAUUCUACAUUGGCUUUUUCUCCUUCAUUGUUGUUGGUCUCAUUAUAAUGACUGCUGCAGUGAUCGUGACCAACAUUAGAAGCAAUGCACAAGAUUCCAAUAAUGACUAUGUGGAUGUCUGAAUAACACAGCGGAUUACUGACGACGUAAAACAGACAUAAAGGAUGAUCUGAUCUGGAGGGGGGGCAGCUUCCUGUCUUCCUAAGACAAAUAAUAUGUUCAUACACUGAAAUAAAUGGUGUAGGAUUUACUUUGUAAUUAUUAAUUACAUAAUUAUUAAUUUUAGCUAUUUUUGAGUAAAAAUUGCUUCAAAGAAACAGC